UUUCGGGUGACUUUGGCCCGCCAGGGUGACUUUGGCUCAUUUUGGGAAAAAUAUAUUUUAGCAACUAGGGCAAUUGUACAAUAAAUUAUCAAGUAAAUUUCAUUAUACCGCACCAUCAGUACCAUAUGAACUGUUUGAAAAUUUUAAUAAAUUAUGCUAAUACUUGUUAUGUUACGAAAAAAACGAAUUUCUAAAAUUUGGUCAUUCCACAUAAGAUUUUUUGACUGCAAAAAUUGGUUGGCAACCAAUAAUACUUCCAAGAGUAAGAUUAAUUGCAUAGUGGCAUAUUGAAAAUCUGUGAAUUCUUAACCUCCGUGCAUCGUUAUUUCAGUCUAAACAUAGACAGUAAGACGGUCGGAUAUUAUUUUGCAAGGUGCUACAAAAUUUAACGGUUUUCGGGUGACUUUGUCCCAGUUUGUUGAUUGUUGGAUUUUGGUCAUUGGUUGCUUCUAUAUUAAAUUAAAAUACUUCGUCUAAUUCUUCAUUUAGUGAGAGCUAUAGGGAUAAUGAAGAUCUACAUAAGCUUUCCAUUGGAGUUGGAGACUUCGUAAUUGUAUCUGACUACUUUGACAGCUUUCCAGGAAAAUUCGAUGGAUUUGUAAGAGGUAGUAAUAACUGUUACGGUUGGGUGCAAGUAAUGGUACUGGGUGAAAGAAGUUUAUGGCAAUGGCCCGAAGUCUCCGUAAGAAAAUCCUACCACUUGGCUAAUGUUGAUUUCACUGAGCCAUUGGAACUUGUAGAUAACCGAUAUUUCUUUCCAGAUUUAAAAAAAAGCUUGUAAAUCGUUUUAUUGUUCAUUUUUUGUUAAGAAAUGAUGUUUUUUGUUAACCUAGGGUCCUAUGUAAAGUUUCAUGUUAGUUUUAGUUUUUCUUUGUUUGAAAUUUAAAUAAAUUUUUUUCACCUAACAAAA
rnacentral:lncRNA from 1 species